GUUCAAGACCAGGACGUUGAUAGGUCAGGUGUGGAAGCGCAGUAAUGCGUUAAGCUAACUGAUACUAAUUGCUCGUGCGACUUGACCCU
rnacentral:rRNA from 1 species